rnacentral:rRNA from 1 species
GUAGGUGGCAAGCGUUGUCCGGAAUUAUUGGGCGUAAAGCGCGCGCAGGCGGGGUUCGUUUAAGUCUGAUGUGAAAGCCCACGGGCUCAACCGUGGAGGGUCAUUGGAAACUGGAGAACUUGAGUACAGAAGAGGAAAGCGGAGUUCCACGUGUAGCGGUGAAAUGCGUAGAGAUGUGGAGGAACACCAGUGGCGAAGGCGGCUUUCUGGUCUGUAACUGACGCUGAGGCGCGAAAGCGUGGGGAGCAAACAGGAUUAGAUACCCUGGUAGUCCACGCCGUAAACGAUGAGUGCUAAGUGUUAGGGGGUUUCCGCCCCUUAGUGCUGCAGCUAACGCAUUAAGCACUCCGCCUGGGGAGUACGGCCGCAAAGGCUA